UACAAUAUUUUGACUCUUCGUUUUAGUUGAAUUUUUUUGCGAUUAAUAGUUUUAUUGUUACUAGAUGAUAAAAUAUGAAUAAUACUUUAUGCGUGACUAAUUUUUUAUUUUUUUUACAAUUUUUUUAAAUAAGACAAAUAGUUAGACGUUAGACACAAAAA
rnacentral:pre_miRNA from 1 species